GAACUGCGAUAAGUAAUGUGAAUUGCAGAAUUCAGUGAAUCAUCGAGUCUUUGAACGCACAUUGCGCCCCCUGGCAUUCCGGGGGGCAUGCCUGUCCGAGCGUCAUUGCUGCCCUUCAAGCCCGGCUUGUGUGUUGGGUCGUCGUCCCCUCCGGGGGACGGGCCCGAAAGGCAGCGGCGGCACCGCGUCCGGUCCUCGAGCGUAUGGGGCUUUGUCACCCGCUCGCUAAGGACCGGCCGGGCGCCAGCCGGCGUCUCCAACCUUUUUUUCUCAGGUUGACCUCGGAUCAGAUAGGGAUACCCGCUGAACUUAAGC
rnacentral:misc_RNA from 1 species